GCGCCUACGGGAGGCAGCAGCCGCGGUAAUACAGAGGGUGCGAGCGUUAAUCGGAUUUACUGGGCGUAAAGCGUGCGUAGGCGGCUUCUUAAGUCGGAUGUGAAAUCCCUGAGCUUAACUUAGGAAUUGCAUUCGAUACUGGGAAGCUAGAGUAUGGGAGAGGAUGGUAGAAUUCCAGGUGUAGCGGUGAAAUGCGUAGAGAUCUGGAGGAAUACCGAUGGCGAAGGCAGCCAUCUGGCCUAAUACUGACGCUGAGGUACGAAAGCAUGGGGAGCAAACAGGAUUAGAUACCCGAGUAGUC
rnacentral:rRNA from 1 species